GAAGGUCUCUGGACCAGGCCUCCGUGAUAGGGCUGAUCUGGAGACCAAUGUGGAUGUUGUGAAAGCCUCUGAUCACAUAGGAGAGUAAGCUCCAGCCUCAGGAAGGAGGAUCCUAUCUAAAGCUCCACGCUCCUGGAGUUGAGAAAACAGACCUUGAGAAGGGAAAGGAGCCACGGUCACACAGCAAGCAAGGAGUGGUGCCGGGCCUCUGACCCUGGGCUCUACCCUCAAAGGUCAAAGAUGAAGGUGCCCACAAGCCCUUGCCAGUGUGUGUGGGAGUAUCCAGACCUCACCUGUUGUCCAGGAUGGGCCCUAUCUUCUGCAGAGACUUGGCCACAUUGAAGCGGACAUUGGCCACCGGGUCCCCAGCCAUACGCAGAACCGUGGGCAGCAUGUGCUUGGUGGUGAUGUCUUGCCCACAGACCUCAGACAGCACCUGGGGGCCAGUGAGUAACAGGGGUGAGUGCAAAGCUUCUGGCUAACUCUCAUCUCCCACUGCCUCUGACCAGGCCACUCUGGUGAUUAUCAGGCCCUACAGAGGCUGAGCAACACAGGGACUCAGUUCAGUGUUAUAGGAGUGGAUCUCCCAACUCCACUAACACCAUCCUAAUACCACGUCUCCAUUCUGUGAUGUCCCAGUUUCUCUGUCCUCAGGCUUCCUUUAAUUACUCUGGAGAUGGACCUUAAUUACCAAGCCCUAUGAUUCAUACUGGUAAUCACAGCCUGGUGAGUAUAAAGAUUAAUCAGGUUAUACAUGCACAGGGCUUAGAACAGUUAGGCUACAGAUAGGAAGUGCUCCUGUCUAUUUGCUUUUCCUACGAUUAUAAUUAUCUCAUGUACUGAUUUAUGUGUAAACCAUACAAAGAGCUAGAAAUGAAAGAAUGGGGUUUAAAAAUAAA